AGCGAGCUUGCCUAGAUGAUGUUAGUGCUUGCACUAAAUGAAACUCCAUACAAGCGAGCGGCGGACGGGUGAGUAACACGUGGGUAACCUGCCCAAGAGACUGGGAUAACACCUGGAAACAGAUGCUAAUACCGGAUAACAACACUAGACGCAUGUCUAGAGUUUGAAAGAUGGUUCUGCUAUCACUCUUGGAUGGACCUGCGGUGCAUUAGCUAGUUGGUAAGGUAACGGCUUACCAAGGCAAUGAUGCAUAGCCGAGUUGAGAGACUGAUCGGCCACAUUGGGACUGAGACACGGCCCAAACUCCUACGGGAGGCAGCAGUAGGGAAUCUUCCACAAUGGACGAAAGUCUGAUGGAGCAACGCCGCGUGAGUGAAGAAGGGUUUCGGCUCGUAAAGCUCUGUUGGUAGUGAAGAAAGAUAGAGGUAGUAACUGGCCUUUAUUUGACGGUAAUUACUUAGAAAGUCACGGCUAACUACGUGCCAGCAGCCGCGGUAAUACGUAGGUGGCAAGCGUUGUCCGGAUUUAUUGGGCGUAAAGCGAGUGCAGGCGGUUCAAUAAGUCUGAUGUGAAAGCCUUCGGCUCAACCGGAGAAUUGCAUCAGAAACUGUUGAACUUGAGUGCAGAAGAGGAGAGUGGAACUCCAUGUGUAGCGGUGGAAUGCGUAGAUAUAUGGAAGAACACCAGUGGCGAAGGCGGCUCUCUGGUCUGCAACUGACGCUGAGGCUCGAAAGCAUGGGUAGCGAACAGGAUUAGAUACCCUGGUAGUCCAUGCCGUAAACGAUGAGUGCUAAGUGUUGGG
rnacentral:rRNA from 1 species